rnacentral:rRNA from 1 species
AGUGAACGCUGGCGGUAGGCCUAACACAUGCAAGUCGAACGGCAGCACAGUAAGAGCUUGCUCUUACGGGUGGCGAGUGGCGGACGGGUGAGGAAUACAUCGGAAUCUACUUUUUCGUGGGGGAUAACGUAGGGAAACUUACGCUAAUACCGCAUACGACCUACGGGUGAAAGCAGGGGAUCUUCGGACCUUGCGCGAUUGAAUGAGCCGAUGUCGAAUUAGCUAGUUGGCGGGGUAAAGGCCCACCAAGGCGACGAUCCGUAGCUGGUCUGAGAGGAUGAGCAGCCACACUAGAACUGAGACACGGUCCAGACUCCUAGGGGAGGCAGCAGUGGGGAAUAUUGGACAAUGGGCGUAAGCCUGAUCCAGACAUACCGCGUGGGUGAAGAAGGCCUUCGGGUUGUAAAGCCCUUUUGUUGGGAAAGAAAAGCAGCAGGUUAAUACCCCGCUGUUCUGACGGUACCCAAAGAAUAAGCACGGGCUAGCUUCGUG